rnacentral:rRNA from 1 species
UAGAGUUUGAUCAUGGCUCAGAUUGAACGCUGGCGGCAUGCCUUACACAUGCAAGUCGAACGGUAACAGGUCUUCGGAUGCUGACGAGUGGCGAACGGGUGAGUAAUACAUCGGAACGUGCCCGAGAGUGAGGGAUAACGAGGCGAAAGCUUUGCUAAUACCGCAUACGUCCUACGGGAGAAAGCAGGGGACCUUCGGGCCUUGCGCUAUCAGAUGAGCCUAGGUCGGAUUAGCUAGUUGGUGAGGUAAUGGCUCACCAAGGCGACGAUCCGUAACUGGUCUGAGAGGAUGAUCAGUCACACUGGAACUGAGACACGGUCCAGACUCCUACGGGAGGCAGCAGUGGGGAAUAUUGGACAAUGGGCGAAAGCCUGAUCCGGCCAUGCCGCGUGUGUGAAGAAGGUCUUCGGAUUGUAAAGCACUUUAAGUUGGGAGGAAGGGCAGUUACCUAAUACGUGAUUGUUUUGACGUUACCGACAGAAUAAGCACCGGCUAACUCUGUGCCAGCAGCCGCGGUAAU